CCGCCCAUAGCUCAGUCGGUAGAGCAGCUCCCUUUUAAGGAGAUGGUCCCAAGUUCGAUUCUUGGUGGGCGGACAA
rnacentral:tRNA from 1 species